rnacentral:tRNA from 1 species
GUGGCUCAGUAGUAGAGUGCUUGCCUUGCAUGCAUGAAGCCCUAGGUUUGAUUCCUGAGC